AGGCGGGUAGCUCAGUGGGAGAGCGCGGCCGUGACACGGCCGAGGCCGCAGGUUCGAGCCCUGCCCCGCCUACCA
rnacentral:tRNA from 1 species